rnacentral:misc_RNA from 1 species
CUGUGGUCUUGUAUGAUAUUUGAGCUGCAAUAGACUGAAGUUCCUCCUUCUUCUCAACAGGAAGUUUCUUGUACACCAAUUUCCGAGUGAGGUUAAUAAUCUCUAGUGCUUCCCAAUACCUUUGCAAAGAUUGCAGUGCCUUGCACAAAUCUAUAAUCAGAUUGUGAUGCUCCUCAUCCUUCAAAAAAUUAGGAAGGGGGGGCACUCUGAUUUCUUCUUCCAAAGACUCAUCUUCUGAAUCAUCACCAUGCCAAUCAAUACCAGCAGCCCUUGCCACAGCUUUCUGUUCUUCCCUUUUUUGAAGCAACUUCCGAGCUCUAGAAGCCUUCAUUAGAUCCGAACGAGAAGCCAACGGUCUGACUCCACCAAAUACAUCAACAGUUUCCCCAACAUCCAGAAUUUUGGUUCUUUUACGAAGAACACUUAUGGUCAGCCUCUUCUUUACCUUUUGACGGAGGGUUUUGACAUAAAGUGACUCACGAACCAAAGGGAAUAUUGUGUUGACAAAGUCUUCAAACAUUCCUUUAGCCCUAUAUAUGUGGCAAAGCUUCAGUUUUAUUUUCCCGUCAAGCCACCAUGGCUUCUGCUUAUCAGAACUUGAGUUGACAGAAUCUGAAUUUUCUGGAGGCGAUAGCAAAGAAAUGGCUUCGUCUUCUUUACCAUCUUCAAGGAUAAGCGAUGCCAAAGUCGAUCUACAAUCAACAUUAUCUUCAAGUGCAUGCAAAGCUUUAUAGAAGAACGUAACUGCUUUCACUCUAUCUUUCAAGGAUAAGUAACACUGAGCAAUUUUCAACUGUAUAUAGCCCUCACUUUCUAUCCCAGCAUUUGACUCCAACAUGAGAUAAUAUUUCAACGCAGCAUGAAAGUGCCCAAGACUCAUAAAUGCAUCAGCUACAUCCGUAAUCAACCCAGCAUGAUUAGGGUCACUCUCUGAUUCAAGAUCACUGAAAAUAAUCUCUGACUUCUCAAUAUUUCCAAGAUGAACAUGGCAGAUUCCUGCUUUGAUUUUCAAUUGUAGAGGCAUUUCCUUUCCUGAAUAGUAAACCUGGUGAGCAUGCUCAAUAUGUUUAAGAGCAUUAUUAUGUGCAUUAGUUUCCAUGAGUACAGCAGCAAGCAAAUCAAUAACACCAAAAUCAGCUCCAGAUGGAUGACCCUUAAGAUAGUUCUCCAAAAUGCUGAUACUUCGUUCUGUCUGACCACAUUCAGUAUACAACUUUGCAGAUAUCUUCAGCACUUCAACAUCUUCAGGACAAACUCGUGAUAUUUGUUCAUAAGACUCAGCAGCUCUUUGGCAAUCUCCAAGCUUAGCAUAAAGAGAUGCAUGAAGAACUCUAAGUGCAAUGUCA